rnacentral:misc_RNA from 1 species
GUUCUGCGCACUCCGCUUGAUAAGGGUGGUGAAUGGCUGAUGUUCCACGCACUCCCUCGGUACUUCCUCUUCUUUCGUUCGCUCUACCCGCUGUGUGUUUUACUGACCAAACACAUUUGCGCGUCGCCCUCGUGCCAGCUCGCAUCCGCAGAUUGCACUGUGCCGCCCCUCUCCAACACACACACGCGCGCGCGCACACCCCUAUUUCGAUUUCUCAGAUCACCACGGUGCUCGUACACCACACAGCACCGAAUACACCCUCGCAUACCUGCGUACAUGCCUUUUCUUCGGCGUAUCUUUUUCCUACCUUGUCUUCGCCACUCUCUGUGACGGUGAACAGCCGCCUCUCCUUGUUGUGUUGGGGCCUGUCAUUGCUGUCGUUGCUGCUCCGAGGCACACGUCACCUCCGCUCCAGCCACCUCCCACGGCAGGUAAAGCUUUUUCUCCAGUUCUUCGGCGCAGGGAGUCGGCAGCCAUUUUGUUUUUGUAGCCGUAACGAUGAAUACGCACGCGGCACUCCAAAACUUAUCCAGCACGCUGCUGACGGCGGGCGGCGGUGGUGGCGGGGCCGCUCACCUCACUGCGCCAGCCGCUGUCUCGUCCUCCUCGGCACUUGUGACGUCGAACAGCUUCUUCUCCCUUAUCGACGCCUACAUGAACCGCAUCUUGCCAUGUGAUACGAAUAUGAAGGUCCUCCUCGUAGACGACGGCGCGCUGCCGAUGAUCGCGACUGCUUUUUCGCAGACGGAGUUGCUCAAGCACGGGGUGUACCUCGUCGAGUCCCUCAACAGCGCCGCGCGGCAGCGGAACUUGAUGAAGAUGCUGCGGUGCUACAUUCUGCUGCGUCCAAGUCUCGCGAGUGUGGAGGCGGCAUGCGUGGAGCUGCGUAUGGCGAAGUACCGUAGCUAUCACCUCUUCUUCUGCGGCGCGACCAGCGCGGAGAUGCUGGACCGCCUCGCGAACGCCGACAACGACUCGCUCGUGGAGGAGGUGCAGGAGGUGUUCUGCGACUUCAACGCCGUCAAUAAGGACGCCUUCGUACUGGAGACGCCGCCGCCGCAGUCGCUUGUGUCGUCAUUCAUGUCAGCCUCGCAGGUGCGCCGGCUGGCGGAGGGGCUGGCCUCGCUCAUGGUGGCGCAGCGCCGGCGACCCCGCAUUCGCUACCAGAAGAAUAGCCCGUUUGUGCAGCGCCUCGGCGCAGAACUCGUGAAUGUGCUGAAAAGCGACCCCGGACUGUACGACUAUCCCGCGCGGGACACGGUGCUGCUGCUGUUAGACCGCAACGACGACCCGCUCACCCCGCUCCUCACCCCAUGGACCUACCAAGCAAUGCUCCACGAGCACAUUGGGCUGCGCUCCAAUACGCUCAAGCUGCCGGCCGACGUGCAAGGAGCCGAAGAGGAGGGCUACGUCUUCUCCGAGCACGAUGACGCCUUCUUCGCCAACAACAUGUUCAACAACUGGGGCGACCUGUGCAACAACGUGAAGAAGUACGUUGACCAGUGCAAAGACGCGCUGAAUCUCGACCGCCCCACAGCCACCCUCGAGGAGCUCAAGGCGUUCAUGCAGAAGAUUCCGCAGACGAAGAGCCUCACCGGGUCCGUCACGAAGCACACAACGGUGACCACGUAUCUCUCCGGCGUCAUCAAGAGGCGCAACCUGCUGGAGAUCUCUCUUUUGGAGCAGGACAUGAUCGCCUCCUCGGACCAGAGCAACCACUGGGCACGCCUGCAGUCCUUCGCGUCGCGCCCCAGUACGAGCCAGGAGGACCUCACACGUCUCUGCCUCAUCUACCACCUUCGCUAUGAGAAGCCCGGCGGUCCGUCGCAGGUGGCACCGUACCUCGACCGCGUCAACUCGAACUACGCCCUGCUCCUUUGUAAGUUGCGGCAGUACUACGGCCUUCAUCGAAACACCGAUCGCUUGUUUGCCGCUACCGGCGUCGUGGCAAAGAUCGUGAAGACGUUUGUGGAUGUCGGCAACAUUUACACUCAGCAUGAACCGGUUCUGAAGCGCACCCUGCAGCAGCUGUACAGCGGCCAGCUCGACACCGCCUCCUACCCAUACCUGGAACAGCCGACCUCCUCCUCCGGCGGCGGCGGUGUGGCGAACGCGGAGCAUAAGCCAAUGGAGGUGACCGUUUACAUGUGCGGCGGGUAUACAUUCGAGGAGGCAGCGCUGGUGCACGGCAUCAACGCGCGCACCGCUUACAAGCCGGCUGAUGCAGCCUCGUUUGCGGCGGGUGGAAGUAGCAUCAAGGCAUCGAUCGGCGGCGAAGCCGUUCUCAACACGCACUCCUUUCUGAGUUUGCUAGACCAGCUCUCGCCAUCGUAAGAGAGGCGUGACGUGCUGCAACUCGUGCGACUGGGCUCCCGUAGCCUUGCUAGCUAGCGUGGCUUCUUUAUAUGUUUGCAUAGGAGUGCGCUCGCGAAAGACGUUUCACCCUGCUCGGACUGCGGGCUCAGACCGCCGUUGCACCUCACCGCCGCCGCCGCCUUCUCCCCCUCCUCGUUCGCCUCUUUAUUUUCCGGCUACUUCUCCGAAG